AAUGGUCUAACGACUGAACCAGUAACUUGGAAGAAUGUAAAUAUAUUAUAUAAUAAUAUAGCAACGAUUAAUUCGUAUAAAAUUCUAAAUAGAAUAAUGAUAAUGACAAUUUUCUAUUUAUAAGUCUUGACUAAAUUACGUGCCAGCAGUCGCGGUAAUACGUAGAAGACUAGUGUUAGUCAUCUUUAUUAGGUUUAAAGGGUACCUAGACGGUAAAUAAAACUUGAAUAGAGUACUUAUUUACUAGAGUUUUAUAAGAGAAGGAAGAACUUCUGGAGUAGUGAUAGAAUACUUUGAUACCAGAGGGACUGGUCACGGCGAAGGCGUCCUUCUAUGUAAAAA
rnacentral:rRNA from 1 species